rnacentral:rRNA from 1 species
CUGCCUACGGGAGGCAGCAGUGAGGAAUAUUGGUCAAUGGCCGAGAGGCUGAACCAGCCAAGUCGCGUGAGGGAAGACGGCCCUACGGGUUGUAAACCUCUUUUGUCGGGGAGCAAAGCGAGUCACGUGUGACUCAUUGAGAGUACCCGAAGAAAAAGCAUCGGCUAACUCCGUGCCAGCAGCCGCGGUAAUACGGAGGAUGCGAGCGUUAUCCGGAUUUAUUGGGUUUAAAGGGUGCGUAGGCGGACUGUUAAGUCAGCGGUAAAAGCCCGGGGCUCAACCCCGGGGAGCCGUUGAAACUGGCU